GACGAACGCUGGCGGCGUGCUUAACACAUGCAAGUCGAACGGAAAGGCCCUGCUUUUGUGGGGUGCUCGAGUGGCGAACGGGUGAGUAACACGUGAGUAACCUGCCCUUGACUUUGGGAUAACUUCAGGAAACUGGGGCUAAUACCGGAUAGGAGCUCCUGCUGCAUGGUGGGGGUUGGAAAGUUUCGGCGGUUGGGGAUGGACUCGCGGCUUAUCAGCUUGUUGGUGGGGUAGUGGCUUACCAAGGCUUUGACGGGUAGCCGGCCUGGGAGGGUGACCGGCCACAUUGGGACUGAGAUACGGCCCAGACUCCUACGGGAGGCAGCAGUGGGGAAUAUUGCACAAUGGGCGGAAGCCUGAUGCAGCAACGCCGCGUGCGGGAUGGCGGCCUUCGGGUUGUAAACCGCUUUCGCCUGUGACGAAGCGUGAGUGACGGUAAUGGGUAAAGAAGCACCGGCUAACUACGUG
rnacentral:rRNA from 1 species